rnacentral:rRNA from 1 species
UACGUAGGGUGCAAGCGUUAAUCGGAAUUACUGGGCGUAAAGCGUGCGCAGGCGGUUUCUUAAGUCAGAUGUGAAAGCCCCGGGCUUAACCUGGGAACUGCGUUUGAAACUGGGAGACUUGAGUGUGGCAGAGGGGGGUGGAAUUCCACGUGUAGCAGUGAAAUGCGUAGAUAUGUGGAGGAACACCGAUGGCGAAGGCAGCCCCCUGGGUUAACACUGACGCUCAUGCACGAAAGUGUGGGGAGCAAACAGG